rnacentral:piRNA from 1 species
UAAAUAAUAACAAAUAUUAUU